rnacentral:rRNA from 1 species
CCUACGGGUGGCAGCAGUAGGGAAUUUUGCGCAAUGGGCGAAAGCCUGACGCAGCAACGCCGCGUGAUCGAGACGCCCUUCGGGGUGUAAAGGUCUGUCAGUGGGGGCGAAACUUGACGGUACCCACAGAGGAAGCACCGGCUAACUCCGUGCCAGCAGCCGCGGUAAUACGGGGGGUGCAAGCGUUGUCCGGAAUCAUUGGGCGUAAAGAGUUCGUAGGCGGCACGUAAAGUCUGGUGUUAAAGGCAGAGGCUCAACUUCGGUACGGCACUGGAUACUUGCGAGCUAGAAUGCGGUAGAGGGAAAGGGAAUUCCAGGUGUAGCGGUGAAAUGCGUAGAGAUGAGGAGGAAUAUCGGAGGCGUAAGCGCUCCACUGGGCCGUAAUUGACGCUGAGGAACGAAAGCCAGGGUAGCAAAUGGGAUUAGAUACCCUUGUAGUC